rnacentral:ncRNA from 1 species
GGUAUUAUUCAUAAUUUACUUGUUUUCAAUUUACCUAAAGACGUUUACGUUUAAAAAAAAAUAAACUGUUCUGUCACUACUGUGCCGUUAGAGGUGAAAUUCUUAGAUCGGCGCAAGACGAACGACUGAGAAAGCAUUUGCCAAGAAUGUUUUCUUU